AGCUUUUACGAGGUACCAGCACUUUUCUUUCAUUAGGGGGAAGGAGUGAGGAAAGGACCGAGGAGCAGCUAGACUGACUUUUAAAACUUUUAAGUACAGGCAGGUCUGAGUGCCUGGACCUGCCUUUUCAUUUUACUUCGCCCUCUAAGGAGUUCCAUCAGCUGGCGUGCCUGCUUCACUUCUUUUAAGAGAAAGAGUAAGUUUGCUGUUUUG
rnacentral:other from 1 species